rnacentral:rRNA from 1 species
GAUGAACGCUGGCGGCGUGCUUAAUACAUGCAAGUCGAGCGAACAGACGAGGAUCUUGCUCCUCUGACAUUAGCGGCGGACGGGUGAGUAACACGUGGAUAACCUACCUAUAAGACUGUGAUAACUUCGGGAAACCGGAGCUAAUAGCGGAUAAUAUAUUUAACCGCAUGGUUCAAUAGUGAAAUUCGGUUUUGCUUGCACUUAUAGCUUGUUCCGCGCCGCAUUAGCUAGUUGGUAAGGUAACGGCUUACCAAGGCAACGAUGCGUAGCCGACCUGAGAGGGUGAUCGGCCACACUGGAGCUGAGACACGGUCCAGACUCCUAAGGGAGGCAGCAGUAGGGAAUCGUCCGCAAUGGGCGAAAACCUGACAGAGCGACGCAGCGUGAGUGAUGAAGGUCUUCGGAUUGUAAAACUCUGUUAUUAGGGAAAAACAAAUGUGUAAGUAACUAUGCACGUCUUGACGGUACCUAGUCAGAAAGCAACGGCUAACUACGUG